rnacentral:lncRNA from 1 species
CCUGUCUUUGCAAUACUUUGAGACAGUCGCUUCUCAUCCUCUAACACCCUCACUCUACCACAUGCUUCAACUGCAGAGCAACUCACAGAUGCCGCUGGGUCUGCCAGGUGCUCAGUCAGCAUAGUAUCUAUCCUUGGGAUGAUGAAAAUGGCCCUGAGAGGAAGAACUGGCAGAUGGAAAUACUGGGACAGAAUGUCCAAGUUGGCUCUGCCUUCCCUUGAGUCUACCACCUCCAGCACUCUUUGCACUAGGAUUUUUAUCAGUGUAGAAGAAGAGCCAUUGAGCCCAACAGAUGGACUCCACCAGGGCCUGAUCACCUUUUAAAAAUUAACAUUCUUGGAUUUGGAUUGAGAAGUAUUUGCAACAUGACCUUUCGGGGAAGAAAAAUAUCACAUGCCAAGGGUCAAUAAAUCAAUAUUUAUUAAGUACCUACUGUGUGCU